rnacentral:rRNA from 1 species
AACGCGAAGAACCUUACCUGGGUUUGACAUGCACAGGACGCUGGUAGAGAUAUCAGUUCCCUUGUGGUCUGUGUGCAGGUGGUGCAUGGCUGUCGUCAGCUCGUGUCGUGAGAUGUUGGGUUAAGUCCCGCAACGAGCGCAACCCUUAUCGUUAGUUGCCAGCGGGUUAUGCCGGGCACUCUAGCGAAACCGCCUCGGAUAACGGGGAGGAAGGUGGGGAUGACGUCAAGUCCUCAUGGCCUUUAUGUCCAGGGCUACACACGUGCUACAAUGGCCGGUACAAACCGUCGCAAACCCGCGAGGGGGAGCUAAUCGGAAAAAGCCGGCCUCAGUUCGGAUUGGAGUCUGCAACUCGACUCCAUGAAGCUGGAAUCGCUAGUAAUCGCGGAUCAGCACGCCGCGGUGAAUACGUUCCCGGGCCUUGUACACACCGACUGUAC